rnacentral:rRNA from 1 species
GAACUGUUCCCCGAUAUAGCUUUAGGCUAGCGUCGAGGUUAGGAUUAUGGAGGUAGAGCUCUUUAUGUAUGAUGGCCCCACCUAGGGGUACUGAUUACACAUUAAACUACGAAUGCCAUAAUUUCAUACUCGGCAGUCAGAACAUGGGUGAUAACGCGCUCCACUGCUCGUGAGGGAAACAGCCCAAAUCAAUCAACUAAGGUCCCUAAAUUCCUGCUCAGUGUGUAAGGAUGAGCGAGUGCAUAGACAGCUAGGAUGUUGGCUCAAAAGCAGCCAUGCUUUAAAGACGYGCGUAACUAGCUCACUAGUGCGAGUCGCUCCUGCGCUCAAAAUGUAGCCGGGGCUUAAGGACCUUACCGAAGUGAUGGAUUUACAGCAAUGCAAGAGGAUGGGGAGCGUCMCCCCUGUAAUGACUGCCAACCGUGAGGAUUAGGGGAACGGUUAGAAGUGAUUAUGCCGGCCUGAGUAACGGGUGGGAGUGAGAAUCUCGCAUGCCGUYYGACCAAGGUUCCCUGGGCAAGGUUCGUCCACCCAGGGUUAGACAAGACCUAUAUGCGACGCCGAAAGGCGUAUUCCAUGGACAACAAGUA